rnacentral:rRNA from 1 species
UACAGAGGUCUCAAGCGUUGCUCGGCUUGACUGGGCGUAAAGGGCGCGUAGGCGGUUCGUACAGUCAGACGUGAAAUUCCUGGGCUCAACCUGGGGGCUGCGUUUGAUACGUGCGGGCUUGAGUUCGGAAGAGGGUCGUGGAAUUCCCAGUGUAGAGGUGAAAUUCGUAGAUAUUGGGAAGAACACCGGUGGCGAAGGCGGCGACCUGGUCCGAUACUGACGCUGAGGCGCGAAAGCGUGGGGAGCAAACAGG